GACGAACGCUGGCGGCGUGCUUAACACAUGCAAGUCGAACGGAAAGGCCCUGCUUUUGUGGGGUGCUCGAGUGGCGAACGGGUGAGUAACACGUGAGUAACCUGCCCUUGACUUUGGGAUAACUUCAGGAAACUGGGGCUAAUACCGGAUAGGAGCUCCUGCUGCAUGGUGGGGGUUGGAAAGUUUCGGCGGUUGGGGAUGGACUCGCGGCUUAUCAGCUUGUUGGUGGGGUAGUGGCUUACCAAGGCUUUGACGGGUAGCCGGCCUGAGAGGGUGACCGGCCACAUUGGGACUGAGAGACGGCCCAGACUGCUACGGGAGGCAGCAGUGGGGAAUAUUGCACAAUGGGCGGAAGCCUGAGGCAGCAACGCCGCGGGCGGGAUGACGGCCUUCGGGUGGGAAACCGCUUUCGCCUGUGACGAAGCGUGAGUGACGGUAAUGGGUGAAGAAGCACCGGCUAACUACGUG
rnacentral:rRNA from 1 species